UACGAAGGGGACUAGCGUUGUUCGGAUUUACUGGGCGUAAAGCGCGCGUAGGCGGAUCGCCAAGUCAGGGGUGGAAUGCCAAGGCUCAACCUUGGAACUGCCUUUGAUACUGACGAUCUGGAGAUUGGGAGAGGUGAAUGGAAUUCCGAGUGUAGAGGUGAAAUUCGUAGAUAUUCGGAGGAACACCAGAAGCGAAGGCGGCUCACUGGCCCAAUACUGACGCUGAGGCGCGAAAGCGUGGUGAGCAAACAGG
rnacentral:rRNA from 1 species